rnacentral:rRNA from 1 species
AAUCAACGCUGGCGGCGUGCCUCAGACAUGCAAGUCGAACGAUUAAAGCUCUCUUCGGAGAGUGCAUAAAGUGGCGCACGGGUGAGUAACACGUAAGUAAUCUACCCUCGAGUGGGGAAUAACGUCCGGAAACGGACGCUAAUACCGCAUAAUGCAGCGGCAUCGCAAGAUGACAGUUGUUAAAGAUUUAUCGCUUGAAGAGGAGCUUGCGGCAGAUAGCUAGUUGGUAAGGUAAUGGCUUACCAAGGCUACGAUCUGUAACCGGUCUAAGAGGACGGUCGGUCACACUGACACUGAAUAACGGGUCAGACUCCUACGGGAGGCAGCAGUCGGGAAUUUUGGGCAA